rnacentral:rRNA from 2 species
GACGAACGCUGGCGGCGUGCUUAACACAUGCAAGUCGAACGGAGUUUAAAAUGAAACCUAGUGAUUUGUAAACUUAGUGGCGGACGGGUGAGUAACGCGUGGAUAACCUGCCGGAUAGACCGGGAUAACAGUUGGAAACGACUGCUAAUACCGGAUACGCUCCUAGGAACGCAUGUUCUAAGGAGGAAAGAUUUAUCGCUAACCGAUGGAUCCGCGUCCCAUUAGCUAGUUGGAGGUGUAACGGACCCCCAAGGCGACGAUGGGUAGCCGGCCUGAGAGGGCGAACGGCCACACUGGGACUGAGACACGGCCCAGACUCCUACGGGAGGCAGCAGUGGGGAAUCUUCCGCAAUGGGCGAAAGCCUGACGGAGCAACGCCGCGUGAGGGAAGAAGGCUUUCGGGUUGUAAACCUCUGUCUUAAGGGAAGAACAAAAUGACGGUACCUUGAGAGGAAGCCCCGGCUAACUACGUGCCAGCAGCCGCGGUAAAACGUAGGGGGCGAGCGUUGUCCGGAAUUACUGGGCGUAAAGGGCGCGUAGGUGGUGCAUUAAGUUAGAGGUGAAAGUGCGGGG